rnacentral:misc_RNA from 1 species
GAAAUGCGAUAAGUAAUGUGAAUUGCAGGAUUCCGUGAAUCAUCGAAUCUUUGAACGCACAUUGCGCCCUCUGGCAUUCCGGGGGGCAUGCCUGUCCGAGCGUCAUUACGCACCCUCAAGCCCGGCUUGUGUGAUGGGCCCCGGCGUCUCGUUCGCGAGACGGGCCCGAAAGGCAGCGGCGGUGUCGACCCGAUGAGCCCGAGCGUAUGGGGACUUCUGUCACACGUUCGCGGUGCGGACCGGCGCCUGCUUGACUUUUCUGAUUAUCCAGGUUGACCUCGGAUCAGGUAGGGAUACCCGCUGAACUUAAGC